rnacentral:misc_RNA from 1 species
GCAAGAGUUCAGGGGAGAACUCGUCAGCUCUAAUGGUGGGUGAUCUGCCUUUCAAAGGGCCAGUAGCGUCAGAUCAUCCAAUGUUCUGGAACAGUGGCUAUCCUAGUUUCUUUCCUAAUGAGCAGGAAAGAGCUCCAGAUAAGAGAAUUGCAUUAGGUUCUUCACAGGGACUCCCCAACUGGGUGUGGCAAAUGCACGGUCAGGUCACUGCUACCCCAAUGACAAUGUUCUCUACUGCAGCAUCAUCAGGAUUCUCAUUUUCGGCUACGCCUCCCUCUGCUGCCAUCCUUCCAUCGAAACCUCUCAUCCCAGCAGCCCACAAUCUAUGUUUUACUCCCCCUGCCACCAUGACUACCAG